UUACAGGUGUGUACCACCACACCCAGCUCCCGUUUCAGAUUUAAUUUGCUCAGAGAAAAUAUUUCAGAUAAUUUCAUCGGCAAGAGAAUUCAAAUUCCUACCAUCCUCGGGUCUCUGCCUUUUUUUUCUUUUUCACUGUGGUUAGCCAGUUCUUAGCUUAGGAGCCUUGCAAUCCCAUCACCUAGCUACAGCAGAGGAAGUUCUUAUUCUAUCCCCAUGAGGGAUCCGAAUUAAUCCCUAGUUGCUCUUAAGGUUGGUAUCAGCAUAGGGAUGUUUUGCAUAAUACUUUAUUUAUCUCAAAUGACUUUUGCAUAAAUGGCCUUUUUGAUGUCUUCCUGCAGCCCAGGGAACUAGGAGGGGCCUGUACAUCUCCACGAACUAAAAGAGGAAAGUCUAACACAGAGAAAGGAACAUACUUGAUAUAAGUACAUUUCUAUAAAACACGUGUUUGUGUAAGAUGAAUUCUAUUUUCUAGGGAAGAAAAAAAUUGAAAAUAAACAUCCUGAGUUCUCUUCACCCUACAUAGAAAACAAUACAUGUUAUUUUUAUUAGUGUAAUGUGGUAGCCCGCGUAUCAGAGCCCAGCAGGUUAUCACAGGCCCUGUGGCAGCAGAAUUGUGUCGCCCUGAGGAGACAGCAGAACACUUGGGCACUGCAAAGGCAGUCGGGGUGUGACGCAGUUAUAGAGGUUAGUCACUCAGGAAAAGCUGAAAUGCUAAGGGGCGGCCAUUCUCUCCUCUAGCCUACAGCCUGCUGUUGUUAGGGAAACAACCCAGUGAUGUGUUACUCUCAUUUUUACUAUUGUUUUGUGUCCUCACAAGCAGACAUGGCCUCUUAUUUCCGGUCUUUCUGGCUGUGGGCACGUGGGGUGUGCAGUAAAUACCCACAAACUAGGUUUCCGUGACGGAGCCAGAAUGUACACAGAAAACACUGACUUCCAUUCCGGUCUCCUUUCUGUCUGUUCCAAACAUCCAGUGAACCCAGGAGCUCUAUUUAGAUUUUCCAUUCAUUGGUCACCAGAUCUAAAGACCUUCCAUCCAGUCUUCAGAGAAGCCUUCAAAUACAAAAUACAACAACGCCUUCGGUUUUCUGAAAGCCGGGUCUGCUCACGAUGCUAUCAGUUUGAUGCCAACUGAAUCCAUAACACUGUUGCCAGUGAAGGUCAAAACUGGAAAUAUUCUCCGAGUCUUCAACAUAAAACUGGUGUGUGUCACCGCGUGUGUGAGCAUGUGAGGACCAGGUGCAGUUUUUUCUUCACUGAACUGAUGUGUCUGUAUUGUCAAUGAAAAGGCGUGUCCAUUGUUCAGAGCUCCUAAGGAGUCCCUGAAUGCAUUUGUUUUUGUUUUUGUUUUUAUCAGAAAACAUGGAUGUUUUUGUUGUUGUAAUUUUUGUUUGCAAAGAAAUGCAUUAAAAAAAGAAUAAUCCAAAGACAAAGAAUUAUAAUAAUGAGUAGAAUGGGAGACCAGUACCAAGAUGAAAUGUCAUCUCUCAUUUCACCUUCUUUAAAACUAGAAGCUUUAAAUAUGUUUCAUUUGUAUUACUUUUGAAUUAUGUAUGUAUGUUUUCCUUUAUAGGAUUUUAAGCCUAAAAGUGUAUCUUAAGUAUGUGUAACUAGUAAAGAGUAUUUAAUAAGUAGAAUAGUUUAUUUUUUGAAAAUCAUUAAAAAAUUUUACCUUGCUUA